UACGUAGGGUCCGAGCGUUGUCCGGAAUUAUUGGGCGUAAAGAGCUUGUAGGCGGUUUGUCGCGUCUGCUGUGAAAAUCCGGGGCUCAACCCCGGACUUGCAGUGGGUACGGGCAGACUGGAGUGUGGUAGGGGAGACUGGAAUUCCUGGUGUAGCGGUGGAAUGCGCAGAUAUCAGGAGGAACACCGAUGGCGAAGGCAGGUCUCUGGGCCACUACUGACGCUGAGAAGUGAAAGCAUGGGGAGCGAACAGG
rnacentral:rRNA from 1 species